GCUCUGACAGCAGAACUUUUGAUAUUCUCUAUUCUGCUUUGUUCAGUGUGCUCUGCUUUAUGCUUUCUGAAAUGGCUCUUGUUGCUGUGGCGUGGCUCUUAAAUCAUGACUUCAUGCUCCAGAGUUUGGAGGUUUUAUUUAACAAAAAGAAUUUCGAUUUGAUUGCUAUAUCUGAAUGAAGUGUUUGAUUACCAACCAGUAAAACCAAGGUUGGCCAGAAGAUGUCAGUUGUGUUUUGCAGGAGAGCUAUGUUAUUCUGAUGACUUUAAUAUGUUUUUGCUUUUAGGUAUGGUCCCUAGCAAAAGAAAUUUGGGUGCUGCUAACAAAACUCCUCAGAACUGGGUAAUCUAAGCAAGGGUUUGAUUAACUUCAGUUUUUUGUUUGUUUUUUUGCCAAAGCUAGGGUAUAAUGGCUCAAGUAACCAAAGUGAUUAAGCUUUAGAGAAAACAAUUUCCUUGUCUUGCCAUUGCUUGAUGCAAGAAAAUGAAGCCUCCUUCCUCAAGUCUUCAAUUGCUGAAGAAAGAAAAAUUGCUUCAGCUGAAGAACUGUUCGCUGAACUGUUACCUGUCUGUCCAACUCGUGCUGUCAUGCAGCUUGUAUGCUGCAGAUGUUCACAGCUGCCCCAUGGCUAUGCUGUGGCUUAGUAUGUUAGCUUUUGCAAGGAAUUCAGUUUUGGAAAUUAUAGAGAAACAAGCCUCGCUUCUUUGAGAUGAUGGAGGUCUACUCAUAUCUCAGUGUCUUGGUGUUCACGGAGACAUUUUGAUCCUUCUGUUCAUUCUCAGUGUCAGCUGGAAUUCUGGAAAAAAUGAAGGCUUGAGGAAUAGAUAGGUGUUACAUUAAAUAUUAACUGCAUUUCUUCUGGACAUAUUUACCUGCACUGGAUGCUGCUGUAACUAUUGAAGCUUGCAUCUCUUAUGUAUUCUUGCUGUUGCUCUCUCCACCCUUGCUUUCUUUUCAUUACUUCACAGAAAUUAGUUCCGUUUCUUGUUGUGGGCAAAUACUUUAGAGGCAACACAGCUUUCUCUUCCACCAACGAUGGCGAUGUCUUUCCUCCACACAUAGUAGGGGAGGGAAUUCUAAGCCAUGCUUUCUGCCUGGUACACACUGAAGUGAUGCUGCGAGCAGCAAAAUAAAAGCUCUUUCAACUGUUUGGCUGCUUUACAGCAAUGCAGUGUAGUACAGCAUGUAUCAAAGAUCUGAAGUACUUGGUGAUACAGAUAAUUGCUUUGUCCUCUGUGUCGUGACAGGUAAGAGAUGGACUGUCCUUGCAGGCUUACUUUACCUUCUGUUUAAUGCCAGUCUUCAGUCUGAGAUAAGUUUGAGCCUCUGUUUCUCAUCGCUUACUGUGGAAGUAAAGUAAUUCAGACAAUAUUGGCAACUCAACUGAAAGAUUAAAAUGAUGGGUGGAAUUGGAGCAGAACAAGGCUGCUGUGUUUGGAUCAGUGUUGAUCCUCUGUGGAAUAGCUCUAUACUUAGACUUGGGUCAGAUUCUGAUCUCAAAACCAUUUGAUUUAUGUGCUAAUCAGAUCUUUUUUUGUGCUUUUUCUAUUAAGAAUGAAAUUGAGUAAUUGGAUAAGUUUCCAGAGGAUGUACAUCAAAAUUAAAAUCUAAUAGGGGUGGGGCUUAUACUGCAAUUUAUUAAUUUAAACAAAGUAAAAACAGAGUUAAUUUUUUUGGCAAGACUGUGUUAAGCACAUAAAAGCUAUGCAUCCAUCCCUAACUGAUGUUUUAAUGCAUUAAAGAAACUUGCUGUUUGCCAAUGAUUUUCUGUGGUCUUUUGGGAAAUCCUCUGUAAAUUCUCAUUUUGAAUUAAAGAUAUUUGCAGUUUUUACUUAACUAUGAAAAUAGUUGAGUAUAUUUCCUGAAGACCCUGAAAAGAUGCCUAACACUGCAGAAAAGAUUUAUUUUUAUUGUGACUUUGUUUAAACUAAGUUCUCGUGUCUUUGAAAUGUUUGGCUGUGGAUUAUAUAGGAUUAUACUAGUCAAUAUUCUGAAAGUUUCUUUUGUGACAUUACACAGAAAAGAGCGGAGGACCUCUGUAGAAACUGCAAAAACAAUGCCAUGUAUCUCCCCUUUUCCAACUAUGUUAAAAAAAGAAUGGAGUUCAAUUACAUUUUAACUUGUGUGUGUGGUUUUCCAGUCAUGUGACAUAAAAGUAGGUGUCCUCAAUUAUCAGCAUUUCCUUUCCUGUAGUCCUAGUUAAUUUUUAAUUUUUUUUUCCAUUCAGGCUUUUAGAGGCAUUCUAUUGUUUUUUGGUGAAUGCUAGUAAUAAAUAUUUCUAUGCCAACUCAUGUUUUAUUCAUAGUGCUGAUGAGAACAAUCUCCUCUGAAAUUUCUUUUGCUCAAAAAGAUCAAAAACUUUACAGAUGCAAUAAAUUUCUUUUCAGCUUGGUGUGAAGAUUUUCUAUUGCUUUGCUGGACGUUUUUGAAGAAACUAGAAAUUGCCAAGUUCUGCUUUUUAACUGAAGCAGUAGGAACCAACCUCAUACAUACAGCAAGUGGACCAGCUCUUUAUUUUCGUCAUUUCAAGAUGCCAGUAUUGUACUAAAAACACAUAUGGCUACCUUUUUAAUAAUAAAAAAUUAAUUCUGUCAUUAGUGGAAAAUGCACUGUUGUGCUCUCUUGUGAUCACAUGGAGGUUUACUGCCCUAAGAUCCUGGGAUGUUGUCCAGAGUCAAUUGACCUCUCCUUGAAACGGGUAAGAGUCUGAAACUUCUAUAUAUGCAUGCAUUCCAUUUGCAGAGGAGAUGCAGCUGUAGAUGUGCAGUACUCAUGACUCUAGGGAUUAUAGAUUUAUAUCCUAAUGGUGAUGAAAGAGAAUUUUAACUAGUAGCUGAUAGUGUAUUUUUAUCAUUGGUUUUUAAACUUACUUUUAGCAGUAAUGGCUUACAUCAAUAAUCUACUGAUAGCUUAUUCAAGCUGAAGGUUUCAAUUCAUCCUCACCAAACAAGGUAUUUCCAUUGUUCAUUAUUAUGUGCAGCUUCCAUUUCAACUCUGAACUCGUAAAUCAUAAAUGAAUGUGAAGUGUUCAUUUCUCUCUUUCAGCACUACCUUUAUCUAAUAUUUGCUGACAGGGCUCAUUGUAACUUAUUUCUGAGUGCAGUCAGGCCUUGUUUUAUGAACAGAAUUCAUUGUUGGAAAGGAUUCUAUAAAUAGAACUUAAGGGGCACCAAAAUGAGAAAUUCUACCUCAUUAGCGUCUUCACUGGAAAAAUCUGAUCCAAUACACAGGAAUUUUGAGCUGAUGAAAUACAAGCAAAUCUCAAAAUAGAUUCUAAAGGGUUAUGCUGUGAAUGGACUAUUAGUAUGUUACUGUUUAGGGUGAUAGAAAGAGAAAAGAGAUUCAAGGUAGUAUGUAUUAGAAUAAGAGGAGAAAAAAACAGCAUUGAUAUUACAAAAAAGUAUGUAUACAGUGGGUUAUUUUCUGGUACUUUGAGUUGUCUUCUUCAGGUGAGGCUUGCGUGAAAUCAAAAUCCUGUAACAAAAUAGCCCUGCUUAUCUUCCUCAUAUGUAAGAGACAGAGAUGUCUCCUCUAGCAAUGCUAGGUAGUGAAGUGGUAAAGCAAAUUUAUGGUGAAGUGAUUCUAUUUCAGCAUCUCAAGGAGGAUUACUAAUGGAAAAUAUAUUAAUCCUCUGAACUAUCUAGUCUCAUGGAAGACUAAAGGCUUAUUGCAUCAGCCUAGAAGUAUGUCCUCUGGGGACAACGUGAGGAUGUGUGCACAAGUUCUGUGUUGAAUGUGUCUGGCACAUAGUGCCUGCCAGAAGUUGAAAGUCUGGUGCUAGGGCUUGCAUGAAGACUCUGUCCUAACUCUUCCCAUGCUGGGUGACUUCAAAUGUGGCUGAAUAAUUAAUUAAGUCAGGAUAUUAUUUCAUGAUAACAAAACUAACUUAUUUCUUCACUUCCUCUUUCCCCAGUGAGAAACAAAGUAUACUGACUAUGCAGAGAGAGACCCUAUUGUCUUGAGACACAGUUUCAGAUGCAUUUCUCUGAAGCAACUAUCUAUAGCACAGUAUUACUGUCGUGGAUGGGACCAUAACGUGAAGUGGUGGCCUGGAUAGAAGCCAGUUGGUAGACAUGAAGACAAGGCUGAAUCUUAACUCGCAGUGUGUGUGGUCUCUGCGAGGCAUUACAUAUAACAGGAAAUUUCUGAUUUCCAUUGAGCAUCAAAUCAUCAGACCCUCAAGAACCUCUUGAAGUGACAAGCCUUUAAUAUCUCAGCAGCAAUGUGGAAAACCUCAUGCGAUAGCACAGUCUCCGCUUUCUAGGUCAGUUGUUUCUCUAGUGAGUACAAAUAUGCAGCAGAACAAACAUAUUUCUCUAUGUUUAAUGAAAACCAUGAGCACUCUCACAGAACCUGAACUGUGUAAAACUGGUCAUGUAGGCGAAAGAUCAUGAAAGUUUCUCUGAGCUCCUGUGCCAAAAAUAGUGGACAUUUGCUAUCUAGAAUCAAAGAGCUGCUAUAAAAAGAUGAUUCUAAGCCUGUGGAGUAUCUGUGUCAUUAGUCAGGAGGGUUUAUUUUUGGAAUAAGCGUUGACAAUGCCACUUACAAUCAAGGCAGACAUAAAGCUACUGAACCAUGAGCUCCAGGAGCAGCGUUACACAGAGAACACUGUGACUCUAAUGUGAGGAAAACCAGGGUGCGUUACCAUCUGUGAGCUUUCUAUCUUAGAGAAGAAAUGAUAAUUAUAUUACAGAACUACAUAAUUCUUGCAGUAGUUUCCUAAGCUCUGUGUUUCCCAGAAAACUCACAGGCCUUAUAUGUGAUGACCCUUUCUCUAGGCCAGAAGGGCAAGAUGCUGUUCAUUGUUUAUCAGCCAGUAGUGGCUGAUUAAGUGUCAGAAGACAUGUUCAUUACCCAAGUGCAGAGCUUGAAGGCUCUCUGCAAUCACAGCAUUUUCUGACCCUCAUGCUCACACUCUGGUACACUUGGGGAUUUUUUAUGAUUGAAGUAGAAAUUUGUAUUUCCAAGAAAAGUUAGUGUCUGUCCAUUUUUCUAGUCCUCAGUACCACUGUAAUUGAGGGCUUUGCAAUCUUGCCCUUAAGAAGCCCUGCAAAUAUUUUCAAGCAGCAAAGCAAGGCAUAGACUAUUAAUUUGUUCAAGGUCACUGAAGAAAUCUCUGAUGGAACAGAAUUCAGGUUUCCCAAGUGCAGCUGUCCUCAGUGGUACUGUCAUCUUCUGACAAAGGGUAUCUUUUAUUAGAAGACUUUAUUCCAACUGAUAGGCUGAGUCAAUUUAUUUUGCUGCACUUCUGGAGUGGAGCUGUAUCCAAAUGCAGUCUCCUGGCCAGAACUUGCUGCAAAUGGCAAGGUGUCAUACCAGUGUGCUUGUAAAGACAAAACGAUAGAGCAAAGUAUAAGCUGGCAACCUAGCCAGUUGUUCUUCUGGAGCACAGCUGCCUGGUAUAAUGCACAUGUGGCCUAAUGGUACAUGUCUGGGCAGAAAAAGACUCCUGGUGACUCAAAAUUUCUAAUUUACACAGAUGUAGUACAUGGUGGUAUAUAGGCAUUAGUCCUUUUCCUAUUUAAAAUAAAUGAAUUGUCUGGCUUCAAAUUCAAACUUUUUUUUGAAGCUGAGAAAGUUGUGCAGGUCUCCGUGUGUAAUAGAUAGUUAAUGUUACACUGAAUUAUGUAUCUAGAAAGCAGAAUUUAUACAGGUAAUAUGUAAUUCAAAAUAUUUGCUAUGCUUAAAUUAAGCAUUUCCCUGCUCACCUUCCUCUGAUCUUGAAGAGCACUGCAGACCACAUCUUUUUCCACUGCUUGCACUGUGGUAUGUCUUAUUUAAUACAUCUCUUCAGGCUAUAUUACUCAGUCCAUCUUAGCAGCAGAAUUUGGAGUCUGCUGCUACAUAGACCAUCUGGGAGCUCUGCAAAGAUGGAGAGAGUUCUGCUUCACUUUCUACAGGAUUGAGACUAUGAGGAAAAUGUCAGAAAAAUUACAAAAAACAAGGUGGGGAGGGACUUCCCUCUUUCUCAGUGAUUAUUAGAGAUAGACACAGCACUCCGACCUUCUUCCUUUCUACAGAGUUCUAUUUCCAAGUCACACUUCUGUUUAUGCUUUGUUUAUGCACAUUUCUGUUAUUCUUUGAGUUGCAUAAAAUCCUUUUCCGACAUGAAAGAUGUUUUUAUCCAAUUCUUACAUCUUGUGCUUGUCUCUGGCUAUGUUUAAAAUUAUGUUAGAAGUUCAGUUUUGUUCUUUAAGGAAUGAUUAAAAAGACUGAAGUAAUUGACAGUGGUGUGAAGAAGGCCUGCUUCUUUUUCAUUUGUACUAGUAUAAAUGUGAAACAAUUCCACUGAAUACAAAAUCAAUUUCUCAAAGAAAAACUAGUGUUGGAAUGCUGAUGGUAACAAAUUUUCUUUUACAGGCUGGUAAUACACUUUUCUGCACAAACACUGAAAAAUUUAAGUGAUUCUAAAAACAAUGCCAUUGUUUUGCCCCCAUGGAAUGAAAUCCUUGCCAAGUUUCCAGGGAAUGUGUUUGAUAAGGACUGGGCAUCCUUGUGACCUUACUAAAUACUCUCCUAGUGUGGGAAUACAUCUUACACACUGUGCCCAAUAAGAAUAGUAACAUUGCUAACUUUGUAACAGAUAGCUAAAAACAGACUACUUCACACCUUGGGUAAAAUAGUCCAGUAUCUCAUGGAUGAUGUGAGAAAAUCAACAUGUGAGUGAGACUGGGGGUUUGAUUUAAAAGAAAGGGGAUGAGAAGAGAAAGCUCAAAUGAUGACUCCUGGGUAAUUAAAGCUGUCUAAUCUGGCUCCUUUCUGACUCUAAAGUUACGCAUGAAGGUUUAUAUUGCAACUCAGCCCAUUAAUGAUGAAUAAUUGGAUAGGUAACAGAGCAGCUCACAUCACCUUCUUUCCAUAGUGCACUGAUGGGAGAACUUUGCUUCAGAGCUGAAAACUUGAGUGACGUGAAGAGUAUAAAUGAUAUUACUAAAGUAAAAUUUCACAAAAAUACACUUAAAAACAAAGAAAAAAAAAAAAAGUACUUUACAAAGAAGUCUCACUACAUUUGGGGCUGGAGUACUUGCCUUUCUUUCCUCCACAUUCUCCUCUUAUUUUAUAUUUUUAAUAGAUUGAAACUCUGCUUUGAUAAGUAUGGAGACAGCAAUACUUCAUUAAUGAUGGUAACAGUGUUAUUUUGCUAGGAAACACUGCUAAGCUCCAGCUUCUAAUUCAAGCAUGAAAAGUAGUUUUGAGGGUAAGGUUUUUAAUUCCAGUUGUAUAAACUCUGCAUUUUAAUGUAUCUAAGACAUCUUGCACAAUUUUACAGCUAAGCCCAGAUAUCUUGCUAAUUCAAUUUAUUACGACUUUGCAUAUUUACAGGUGUUUUUUACUGUUAGACUGCAGAGUUCACUUUAUAAUAAGGCUUGGCAAUUGUGGGGAAAACUGCAAAAAUUUAGCAAGAGUACAAUUUUUUCUUGGGUUGAUUAGACAGCCAACAAACCAGAUAGCUUAGCUCCAAAUUGAUUCAUUAUCAGCAGCAGUCCAGGAUAUCCAGUCAAUACAUCCAUUUUCUUAAAUAUUGAUCAAGAUUGUAAAGUUUGACAGAUUGCAGUGGCAUGGAAAUCGUUGCUCUAGUUUAUAUUUUUGAAUACUUUUCACCUAAACCUGUGUCUGUAGAGACAUUUCAGUGAAAACCUGUGAUGCCUCAGUGCUAAUAAAGUUUGUAAUACAAUUAGGAAUCUUUGCGUUUGACAAACCUCAGCCAAAUUUUCAUAAUAGCUGUUAUUGAGCCUGACUUUCAGAAAUCCGUGCCUCGCAUUUUAGGAGUGAUCAGUUAUUUGAAAAUUCAGCUGAGCUUUGUCAGUUGUCCUAUUUCAAAGCACACAAAGUACUUCAAGUUUAUGUGAAUGACUAAAGUGUUCUGGGGAAAUAAAUAGCAGGAAAUGCUUUAUAGAUGCAGAGGUUUGCAGUAUACUUGUACAGAAAAAUGAGAUACAUUCAGUAUAUAUGUGUUUGGAUUUUGCAUUUGCAUGAUUCUCCUGUUACAUUAUUUUUCUGAAGGAUUUGGGAGUUGUCAUUUGUCACUUCAGUUGCUUAAGCCCUGCUGAAAGAGUUCUAUUAUUUAAUACAUUCCACACAAACAUUAAGAAAUUCAUGAUGUUUGCUUCACAGAACAUCAAAAAUUUCGCCGAAAAUUCCUAUUCCAUGUCUGAAUGGAUAGCAAAACUUUUUAUUUUAUCACAUUUAUUUUGAGAGGAAAUUGACAUUAAAGCAUUUAGGAGUCUAAUAGUCUUGUCCUAAAUCGUUCACACUCUAAAACAUCCCCAGUCUCUCAAACAUCAGAGAAGUCUCACUUUCAAUCAAAUGAACUAUUUAUCUUGACUUUUAAGCUUUUUACGUAAUUACUAUUUUAU